rnacentral:rRNA from 1 species
CAUGCAAGUCGAGCGGGGGAAGGUAGCUUGCUACUGGACCUAGCGGCGGACGGGUGAGUAAUACUUAGGAAUCUGCCUAUUAGUGGGGGACAACGUUCCGAAAGGAGCGCUAAUACCGCAUACGCCCUACGGGGGAAAGCAGGGGAUCUUCGGACCUUGCGCUAAUAGAUGAGCCUAAGUCGGAUUAGCUAGUUGGUGGGGUAAAGGCUUACCAAGGCGACGAUCU